rnacentral:rRNA from 1 species
AAGCACAACUAUACCAUCCUGAAGACAUUAACCUUGCUUCAUUUUGGAAGCUAAGCAGGGUCGAGGCUGGUUAAUACUUGGAUGGGAGACCCACAAAGAAAUACCAGCGUUCUCCAGG